rnacentral:rRNA from 1 species
UACGUAGGGUGCGAGCGUUAAUCGGAAUUACUGGGCGUAAAGCGUGCGCAGGCGGUUUGCUAAGACCGAUGUGAAAUCCCCGGGCUUAACCUGGGAACUGCAUUGGUGACUGGCAGGCUAGAGUAUGGCAGAGGGGGGUAGAAUUCCACGUGUAGCAGUGAAAUGCGUAGAGAUGUGGAGGAACACCGAUGGCGAAGGCAGCCUCCUGGGCCAGCACUGACGCUCAUGCACGAAAGCGUGGGGAGCAAACAGG